AUGCCAGCCAUUCAUAAAACUUUGAAUAUACUCUGCUUGGCGGCCCUGCACGGAGUUAUCGUGUCACUGUUCGGUCCUUCGCUCCUAGACUUGGCAGAUGUUUUCCAUUCCGACAUCAAGCAUGUGUCUUAUUUGUCGUUCACGAUGACGUUCGCGGCUCUAACGGGAUGUAGUCUGGCUAAUUGGAUCUAUAGCAAGUUCCAUUCGCAAUGUGUGAUCAUUUUUGGCGUUCUGUUGAAGGGACUGUCGAAUGCAGCCCUCCCGAUGAUGAAGUCCCUGGAGGAAGCUCAUCUAGUUUCUCUCAUCUUCGGCUUUUCUUUGGGAUUCCUCGAGACAGGCGUUUACGUUUGGCUAGUCGCUUUGUACUCCAAGAGUCGUUUGUGCUCAGCCGCUUUGCAAACCUACCAUCUGAUGUUCGGUGUGGGCAGUCUGCUGGGUUCGAUUCUCAUUCGUCCGUUCGUUGCGCCGCAAAGCAUCCUUGAAGCCGGAGCGCAGAUCGAGCCAAGUCCGUCCCGGAUUCACGUCGCAUACCUGAUGGUAGGGCUCCUCGCCGUAGGCUUGGCCUUAUCGCUCUUGAUCAGCCUGAUCAUCGACUCGACACCCGAUGUCAAGACUCGAACUGAUAGCCGGAAUAGCAUCGGCGGCGGCGGCGUUGGCAUAAAUAACUCGAGUCACAUUAGGCUUUCUGUGCUCAUCGGCCUACACUGUCUCAUAUUUCUGGUGAUAUUCUUGUGUUUAUCUCGCUACAUCUCAGUGUAUGCUGUACUCAGGGGAAUGACCAAAGAUGAGAGUGUCGUAUUGAUGUCGUCGUUCUAUUCAAGUUUCACAAUAUCCAGAUUGAUUUCGAUUUUUAUAGCUUCGAAAGUGCUGCCGGGGUCGUUCCUUGUGAUCGUAGAUUUGGUAUUCUUCGCCUCUGUGCUUGUUUUUUUCUACUAUGGUUCGGUAUCCCACCAGAAUCUCCACGUCACAAUCGUACUGCUAGGUGCCACCAGCGGGCCAAUCUAUGCGGCUGGAACAGCCUAUUUGGUCAGUCGCUUGACGCAGCUCAAUCACGCUCUCAGACAAGUAUAUUGAAGUUCAUGUCGAACUGUGGUGGUCUCGUUCCGCCGCUUGCGAUAGGACCCCUGAUCGAGUCCGCACCGCAGGUGUUUCCAGAUGUCAUAUUGCUCAGCACGAUUCUCCUCGUCAUGGUUUCAGGGUAUGUCGUUCUCACGGGGAGCUACUCGUCUGACGACACGAGUGAGCUUGUAUCGCGCAGUAAAUCACUGAUUUCGGGGAUUUCGCUUUCGAAAGUCAUUUAGAUGCAAUAUGAAUAACCCUCCACAAAGCAUCGGGAAUCCGUGUGAUGAUGUAGUUUAGUUUUGAAACAACAAGAAGACAGCACUCGGGUCGAUGGAGUGGCGUGCAUCAGGAGAAAUCCACCUCCGAAGGUGAUCCACGAAUUCGGACAUUCGUGGUCGGGCGGAUCCUCUCUGGCUCCCGUGUUCCUCAGUUUAGGCUUUUAAUUUGUGG